AAACCAGCCCAUCCCUGACCUGAGCUCUGUGAGCUGAUUCCACCAGUGACUGAGCACAGACCACCACCAUGGAGCUGGGGCUGUGCUGGGUUCUCCUUGUUGCUCUGUUGAAAGGUGUGCAGUGUGAGGUGGAGCUGGUGGAGUCGAGGGGAGGCUUGGUGCAGCCUGGGGGGUCCCUGAGACUCUCCUGUGCUGCCUCUGGAUUCACCUUCAGUAGCUAUGGCAUGAACUGGGUCCGCCAGGCUCCAGGGAAGGGGCUGGAGUGGCUCUCAUACUUCUAUGAUAGUAGUAACACAUACUACGCAGACUCCGUGAAGGGCCGGUUCACCCUCUCCAGAGACAACAGUCAAAGCACGCUGUACCUACAAAUGAGCAGCCUGAGAACCGAGGACACGGCCCUGUAUCUCUGUGCAGGGCACAGUGAGAGGAGCCAGUGGGGCCCAGACACACAGGUGCAGCAGCCUAGGCCAGCAGGCGCUGAGCCGCGUCAGCUGCAGGUGUGGUGAGGAGGCGGCCCUGGG